rnacentral:rRNA from 1 species
AUUGAACGCUGGCGGCAGGCUUAACACAUGCAAGUCGAGCGGGGUGAUGGUGCUUGCACUAUCACUUAGCGGCGGACGGGUGAGUAAUGCUUAGGAAUCUGCCUAUUAGUGGGGGACAACAUCUCGAAAGGGAUGCUAAUACCGCAUACGUCCUACGGGAGAAAGCAGGGGAUCACUUGUGACCUUGCGCUAAUAGAUGAGCCUAAGUCGGAUUAGCCAGUUGGUGGGGUAAAGGCCUACCAAGGCGACGAUCUGUAGCGGGUCUGAGAGGAUGAUCCGCCAAACUGGGACUGAGACACGGCCCAGACUCCUACGGGAGGCAGCAGUGGGGAAUAUUGGACAAUGGGGUGAACCCUGAUCCAGCCAUGCCGCGUGUGUGAAGAAGGCCUUAUGGUUGUAAAGCACUUUAAGCGAGGAGGAGGCUCUUUUGGUUAAUACCCAAGAUGAGUGGACGUUACUCGCAGAAUAAGCACCGGCUAACUCUGUGCCAGCAGCCGCCGUAA